UACAGAGGUCCCAAGCGUUGUUCGGAUUCAUUGGGCGUAAAGGGUGCGUAGGCGGCGCGGGAAGUCGGGUGUGAAAUCUCGGAGCUUAACUCCGAAACUGCAUUCGAUACUGCCGUGCUUGAGGACUGGAGAGGGUAGCGGAAUUCCGGGUGUAGCGGUGAAAUGCGUAGAUAUCAGGAGGAACACCGGCGGUGUAGACGGCUCUCUGGACCGUAACUGACGCUGAGAUACGAAAGCGUGGGUAGCAAACAGG
rnacentral:rRNA from 1 species